rnacentral:rRNA from 1 species
CCCUUAGAUGUUCUGGGCUGCACGCGCGCUACACUGAUGCAUGCAACGAGUUUUCGACCUUGCCUGAAAAGGUUGGGUAAUCUGUUUAACAUGUGUCGUGAUGGGGAUAGACCAUUGCAAUUAUUGAUCUUCAACGAGGAAUUCCUAGUAAGCGCGGGUCAUCAUCCCGCGCUGAAUACGUCCCUGCCCUUUGUACACACCGCCCGUCGCUCCUACCGAUUGAGUGGUCCGGUGAGGCUUUGGGAUCUGAGCGGAAAGAGCGUUUCGCUGUUUCUGCUCGGAAAACUCAGUCGAACCUUAUCAUUUAGAGGAAGGAGAAGUCGUAACA